rnacentral:lncRNA from 1 species
CCACAUGCAAAUUCCACGCCGAGCGCCGCGCUCACAAAUGAUUUUUAAAGAGCCAAAUAAACACUGGAUGGGAUCCAAGGCGAGAGAGAGACGAUCCAAAAGGGGGAGAAUCGGCGAGAGGCGAACGGCGGGGAGACGCGAGGGAGGGGCGAAGUCCCGCCGCCUUGUUUAUCUCCAGCCACCGACUCCCCCUCGGCCCCCGCCGGCGCGCGAGGGGAGGCGAGCCCCGGAGCCGCCGCCGCCGCCUCGGAGCCGCCGCCGCCGCGGAGCGCGAACUCGCGAAGGGGGGGGUGCGGACGAAGCCAGCGGGCGACCCCGGCAGCCGAGCGACGUCCCCUCCUUCCUCUUCCUCCCCCACCCCCCCCUCCUCCCCAGUCAGCCUCGCUUCUCCUCCCUCCCCGGGCUCGCUUGCUCUGACAGCAAUGGCGGCCGCCGACCGCGGCUCGGCCCGCCAUUGGCUGGCGCUUGGUCACGUGACGGGCGCCGGCCGCGCGGGGGGAGCGAGGGGCGGGCGGGGGAG